rnacentral:rRNA from 1 species
UACGGAGGGGGCUAGCGUUGUUCGGAAUUACUGGGCGUAAAGCGCACGUAGGCGGCUUUGUAAGUUAGAGGUGAAAGCCCGGGGCUCAACCCCGGAAUUGCCUUUAAGACUGCAUCGCUAGAAUUGUGGAGAGGUAAGUGGAAUUCCGAGUGUAGAGGUGAAAUUCGUAGAUAUUCGGAAGAACACCAGUGGCGAAGGCGGCGACCUGGGCCAAUAUUGACGCUGAGGUGCGAAAGCGUGGGGGAGCGAAACAGGG